UAGUCAUAUGCUUGUCUUAAAGAUUAAACCAUGCAUGUCUAAGUAUAAGCAAUUAUACCGCGAAACUGCGAAUGGCUCAUUAUAUAAGUUAUCGUUUAUUUGAUAGUACCUUACUACUUGGAUAACCGUGGUAAUUCUAGAGCUAAUACAUGCUAAAAAUCCCGACUUUGGAAGGGAUGUAUUUAUUAGAUUAAAAACCAAUGCCCUUCGGGGCUCACUGGUGAUUCAUGAUAACUCCUCGAAUCGCAUGGCCUUGUGCCGGCGAUGGUUCAUUCAAAUUUUUUCCCUACCAACUUUCGAUGUUUGGGUAUUGGCCCAACAUGGUUGCAACGGGUAACGGAGGGUUAGGGCUUGACCCCGGAGAAGGAGCCUGAGAAACGGCUACUACAUCCAAGGAAGGCAGCAGGCGCGCAAAUUACCCAAUCCCGACACGGGGAGGUAGUGACAAUAAAUACUGAUACAGGGCUCUUUUGGGUCUUGUAAUUGGAAUGAGUACAAUUUAAAUCCCUUAACGAGGAACAAUU
rnacentral:rRNA from 1 species